AUGACGAACUCGCUGGAAAACCUUCAUCACCAGUUAGGAGCUGCCAGAGUACCUGCGAUUGUUGUUUUGAAACCGUCGGAGCUCCCGACGUCACAUACGCAUCUCACGUCGGAACAAUCGGAGGUUCCAUAUGUUUACUUUAUUAUAUGUUUAGUGGGUAGUAAGUACAUGCCGGAUAUAUCAUCACACAGUUUGUCUAUUAUUUGCUUUUUUUACAUUUAUAAAUCAAAAUAA